rnacentral:rRNA from 1 species
AUGCACGCUGGCGGCGUGCCUAAUACAUGCCAGUCGAGCGAACGGACGAGAAGCUUGCUUUUCUGAUGUUAGCGGCGGACGGGUGAGUAACACGUGGAUAACCUACCUAUAAGACUGGGAUAACUUCGGGAAACCGGAGCUAAUACCGGAUAAUAUUUUGAACCGCAUGGUUCAAAAGUGAAAGACGGUCUUGCUGUCACUUAUAGAUGGAUCCGCGCUGCAUUAGCUAGUUGGUAAGGUAACGGCUUACCAAGGCAACGAUGCAUAGCCGACCUGAGAGGGUGAUCGGCCACACUGGAACUGAGACACGGUCCAGACUCCUACGGGAGGCAGCAGUAGGGAAUCAUCCGCAAUGGGCGAAAGCCUGACGGAGCAACGCCGCGUGAGUGAUGAAGGUCUUCGGAUCGUAAAACUCUGUUAUUAGGGAAGAACAUAUGUGUAAGUAACUGUGCACAUCUUGACGGUACCUAAUCAGAAAGCCACGGCUAACUACGUG